rnacentral:rRNA from 1 species
AAGCCUACGGGGGGCAGCAGUGGGGAAUAUUGCACAAUGGGGGAAACCCUGAUGCAGCAACGCCGCGUGAGUGAAGAAGUCAUUCGUGAUGUAAAGCUCUAUCAGCAGGGAAGAAAAUGACGGUACCUGAGUAAGAAGCCCCGGCUAACUACAUGCCAGCAGCCGCGGGAAUACGUAGGGGGCAAGCGUUAUCCGGAUUUACUGGCUGUAAAGGGAGCGUAGACGGCUGUGCAAGUCUGAAGUGAAAUGCCGUGGCUCAACCCCGGAACUGCUUUGGAAACUGUACAGCUAGAGUGCAGGAGGGG